CCACUGUGUGGGCUGAGAUCGUCAGAGGUGCAGUUGUAUGAUGAAGAAAACACUCAGUGAGAAUGCCGCUGUUACCCAGUGGCACUCUCAGUCGAUGUGAGCAGAAAGCACACUGGUCCACAGACCUCUCUGGCGUUAACAAGAGGUCACUACACUCGGCUCCACUUCAAGUCACUGCCACAAUCCACAUAAACGGGAAGCUCCAAGGGGUAACCAGCGUGCAAGACGGGAGCCCAUCACGUGAAGGGGCCUCAUCCUUUAUUUCCUGUAAAGCACACUCAGAAACCGACAAUGCAAAUCAUCUUCCUGACAGGCCACACAUGACAUACAGACACGUGUUUAUAUUUUAAGCUGCCCUGUGGUUUCCGAAGGCAUGAAAUCCAGACCUUCAGGUCCCCCAACCCUGGCCGCCUCCUUUGCCCACCUCCAUCGGCCACCUGAACAGAAUGACUCCUGCGAGGAGAGGACGUGGCAGCCGAUUUACCGUAACCACCACCGGAAGGCACCUCGCUCCUGACUCCCGAGCCCUGAGUCCAUCGCAGGGAUGAGCGGAGAUGAAGUCAUCGGCCAGACUCAGAAGCUGACAUGUUCCCCGCCCGGCACCACCACACCCCAAACACUACAGCCGGUGUCUUCCUUUUCUGAAGGAAACAUUUGCAAUCAGCACAGUGAAAGGGAAAGGAUAAAGUCCCCCGGGGAAGAAGUGUGACCAGGGAGGAGGAGGGAGGAGACCACUGGGACUGCCCCCCCCGGCCCCCCCUGUGCCCGGCCGGUCCUUCCUCCCGUUUCCAUAGCACCUGGUUCAGGCAUCGCUGUGGGCACUUUCUCACUUGGCCCCAUAAUUCACACUUGCUUAUUCACUUCCUCCACUAGAUAAAAAUCAUGCUGGGGCACGGCCGGCUUCCCAGCACCGUGUCCUAUUGUUCAGAGCAUGGGGUUAUGCAGGGCAAGGUGGAUAUUCUCCUUGUCAGUGGAGCCAGUGGAGAAGCGGGGAGGCCCCCCUGCCUCAAGGUGCUGCCGUCUUCAGCUGGGGACCUGUCCUCCCUCUGCCGCAGCAGGGCCUCCCAGGGACAGGUUGUGGAUAUGGAAGCCGCACUGAGCAUGGACUCCUGGAAGGCUCCGGUCCCUGGGCCCUGCAGGAGGGUCUUUCACUGCAGAGCUUCUGAUGACAUCGGAUGGGCUCUGAGAUCCCCGUGAAGACCACACGGCCCUCUCGCUGUCGACUGAGCUGUGGAGGGUGCACGGGCACAACUCACACUGUUCUCUUUUGGCUUAAAAUUAUUGACAUGCACAUCCAGGCUGGAGUGAAGGGUGCCAAGCAGGAAGGAAGGGAAACAGCCCAGGGUUGAUGGAUAGGCUCUGCUGGUCCUAGGAAAAGGUGUUUAUGAAACUGACCCAGAAAAAGAACCCAGCAUGAAGAUGCUCAAAAACAUGUGUUGGGUGCAGAACAUGACUGCAAUCUGGAGUGUGUACCCUCCUGUGUGCAUGUGUGAACCCGGGGGCAGAGUGUGUACCCUCCUGCAUGCAUGUGUGAACCUGGGGGCGGAGUGUGCACCGUCCUGUGUGCAUGUGUGAACCUGGGGGCGGAGUGUGCACCGUCCUGUGUGCAUGUGUGAACCUGGGGGCGGAGUGUGCACCCUCCUGUGUGCAUGCGAGAACCCGGGGGCCAUGAGAGGGUAUGUGCAGAACAUCACUGCAAUCCAGACUGGACACCCUUCUGUGUGCAUGUGAGAACCCGGGGACCAUGUGAGGGUAUUUGCAGUAAAACCCAACUAGAUAAAAGCAGCACGUGAGUGACAGCUGAGUCUACUGUGGUCACUCUUCCCCUGGGCCUGGAAAGUGGUGCCUCUGCUCAGGUGCACUGAAGGCUGGGGGCCAACCAGGCAUCCGCCCUGCCCUGAGGAGAAGCGUGCUGUCCGAGGCUGGGGGCCAACCAGGCGUCCGCCCUGCCCUGAGGAGAAGCGUGCUGUCCGGGAGGGCCCUGUGGGCACCAGAGGAGGCUGAAGAGUCUCUGAGCACAUCCUUCAGAAAUGUCAGCUCCGGGACGACCACAUUCUUAGGGCAAUCCCAUGGGGACCGAGACCGGCUUCUCCUAAGUGAUAGGCACAGGUGCUGGGGAAUGGCAGGCCCCAGGUCUGCAGAACACUCACAGCCUCGACUGAGGGGCAGGCGUGGCCUUGGCUGCUGCCCCUCAGCUGUGGCUCCUUUCCGAGUCACUGGGUGCUCCCCAGCUUGUCCUCCCUCCCCCACCCCAGGUCCAGUAUGCUCGAUGUGGAAGAGGAGUCAGGCAGAGACCUGGGCUCCUUCUGCCCUUCAGGAGCUACAGGGCCCUGUCCAUCACAGAUUUUCCCAAUAUCAUAUCUUUGGUUCCAGAGUUGUUUGUUUUUAUGCUUCGACAGCAGCCAAGGUUUCUGCCUGUUGGUGUUGAGUGAAGUUGCCAGAUGGACAUCUUCAGACACAACCACACCUAUUCCUCUUGUCAUCAUCUUCUGUUUCGAGUUCCUACUCCUCACCCUGGCACCCAGGGCCACAGCACUGUAGAGGAUGGUGACUGGUGACAUCCCUCACAUCCUCCAGAAGACCAAGAGAAGCCCCAUGUGCUGGCAGAGGCUGGCAGGGCAAGAGACAGAUGAAGAGAGCAGGUGGAACAGUGCAUCCUCACGGACGGCCGAACAGACCAGCCCAGACACCCGAGGCUUGCAGGAAUGCCUUGUCCACAUGCAAACACGACGCCGUCACAUCUGUCCCAUCUGCUGUGGAAUGAUGUACAUUCAGUUUUAAUCUCACAGCACAUUAUUAUACCUGAAAAAUGCAUAUAAAGCAUUACCUUUAUAGCAUAAGAAGGAAGCUCAACAGACAUUUCCACUAAUAGAAAGUAAAUCUAUAAAAACAGUUACAAAUAAUUAGCAGGAUAUGAUGGCCACAGCCAUCCCUCUGUUAAAUGUUGCGAAGCAGAUAAACCACGUCUCAACAAAGACAGAUUUUCUCCUUGACCUGACCAACAUGGAAAGGUAACUGGGAGGAGGAAGUGUUUCCUCAGCUCUGACUCAAUAUUUAACCAUGGAUGGUGAAUUCGUUAAAGACAAUUUAAAUAGCAGACAAAACCAUUUCAAUACAGCCAGGCGCCAGUGUUCCGUGCCUUGAAAAUAAGAACAAGACAUACAGGUGCAAUAGAACAAAGAAAUGUUGUCCAGAGAGCGCACAGAUGUGGAGGAGAAAUGGUGGGAGGUGCUGCACAACCAUAUACGAGUCCACCCACUCAGCUGAGUCAGGCCCCUUCAGUGUCCACACAGUGGGCGACCCAAACUCCGGGUAAAUAGGCUGUGUAGAUGUGGAGUUCUCCACAUAAACCUAGGGUGAAAACACAGAUAACCGUGAUAAAAGGACAAGGGAAAAUAUGCAUGCAAAAGAGGAGGGUGUGUACUCCACAUAGUGACACUGUGCACACCCUCAUGGUAGCACACCAUGUCUACAGUGACAUAGGUGCAGGCACUAUCUACAGUGACAUGGGUGCAGCCACCCUCCACAGUGACAUGGGCGCACCCACCCUCCACAGUGACAUGGGCGCACCACCCUCCACAGUGACAUGGGUGUACCACCCUGCACAGUGACAUGGGCGCAGGCACCCUCCACAGUGACAUGGGCGCAUCCACCCUCAGCAGUGACACGGGCUCACCCACCCUCCGCAGUGACAUGGGCGCAGGCACCCUCCACAGUGACAUGGGCGCACCCACCCUGCACAGUGACAUGGGCGCAGGCACCCUCCACAGUGACAUGGGCGCACCCACCCUCCACAGUGACAUGGGCGCACCACCCUCCACAGUGACAUGGGCUCACCCACCCUCCACAGUGACAUGGGCGCACCACCCUCCACAGUGACAUGGGCGCACCACCCUCCACAGUGACAUGGGUGUACCACCCUGCACAGUGACAUGGGCGCAGGCACCCUCCACAGUGACAUGGGCGCACCCACCCUGCACAGUGACAUGGGCGCAGCCACCCUCCACAGUGACAUGGGCGCAGCCACCCUGCACAGUGACAUGGGAGCACCCACCCUGCACAGUGACAUGGGUGCACCACCCUCCACAGUGACAUGGGCGCACCCACCCUGCACAGUGACAUGGGCGCACCCACCCUCCACAG
rnacentral:lncRNA from 1 species